UACAGAGGGUGCGAGCGUUAAUCGGAGUGACUGGGCGUAAAGGGCACGUAGGCGGUUUAUUUAGUCUGAUGUGAAAUAACUAGGCUUAACCUGGUAUGUGCAUUGGAAACGGAUAAGCUAGAGUAUUGGAGAGGGAAGUGGAAUUUCCGGUGUAGCGGUGAAAUGCGUAGAGAUCGGAAAGAACACUCGUGGCGAAGGCGACUUCCUGGCCAAAGACUGACGCUGAGGUGCGAAAGCGUGGGUAGCAAACAGG
rnacentral:rRNA from 1 species